AUUGAACGCUGGCGGCAUGCCUUACACAUGCAAGUCGAACGGCAGCAUGAUCUAGCUUGCUAGAUUGAUGGCGAGUGGCGAACGGGUGAGUAAUACAUCGGAACGUGCCCUGUAGUGGGGGAUAACUAGUCGAAAGAUUAGCUAAUACCGCAUACGACCUGAGGGUGAAAGUGGGGGACCGCAAGGCCUCAUGCUAUAGGAGCGGCCGAUGUCUGAUUAGCUAGUUGGUGAGGUAAAGGCUCACCAAGGCGACGAUCAGUAGCUGGUCUGAGGGGACGAUCAGCCACACUGGGACGGAGACACGGCCCAGACUCCUACGGGAGGCAGCAGUGGGGAAUUUUGGACAAUGAGGGCAACCCUGAUCCAGCAAUGCCGCGUGUGUGAAGAGGGCCUUCGGGUUGUAAAGCACUUUUGUCCGGAAAGAAAUCGCACUUACUAAUAUUAGGUGUGGAUGACGGUACCGGAAGAAUAAGGACCGGCUAACUACGUGCCAGCAGCCGCCGUAAUAC
rnacentral:rRNA from 1 species